CAUUGCAGCUGCCUCUCCCGCCGAGUUGGAGACGGAUGGGCUGGGACGGGUUUUGGGGGGGUGUCCCCAAUUCUGACUGGGAGUGGAGGAACCCCUCCUGAGCUCUCUUGUGGGGGUGCCCCCUCCCCAGGGCACUCCCCAGUCCCUGAGCCAGCCGAGAGGAAGGAGGCCAGCGAUGCGACUGGGGCGGCUCCUUUCUCCUGCACCCCAAAUGUGAGGGAUGCACCCUAAAUUUUGCUCUUUUCAAAAUAGGGGACCAGGAUCUCAGGGGAGAGUAGCUGAGGCCUUGCUCGGAGUCCCAGGAGAUCCACAGGUCCGGCAUGAACAGUGAGAGGUCAGAGGUGGAAGGCUCAGCAGGAGAGGAGAGGAGGAUCAGCAGAGGUCAUGAGAAGGCCAGAAUCCAGGGUCAGGCUGUCUGGAACAGGAAGUAAAAUGGGCCGAGAUGGAGCGAGCCCCCAGUGUGCUUCCAAGGCCACUCCCAACUCCCUGAAACACCCUGCUACGUACUGAUCCAAUGCCCUGCGCUGUGUAUGAGAGCACCUUCUCUUCUGAAACCCCUAUACAAGGGAGGGGCCCCUGCGGAGACCGUGCCCUGCCAUCCAGGGUGGAUGGAGUGUGGAGAGUGGAGUCCCUGAACUGAGCAGUGGGAAAGGCCCAUCUCCUAAUUCUCUUCCGGGAGAGACAUCAGUCCUCAAGGGGAUUCUAAAAAACUAGUGACAAAGUAGGGAAGCAGCUGAGCUGGAAAGGAGUUCUGAGGACGAUGGAACCUUGGGUAAGGAGGAAGAAGGCUGCCCACCCGCCCUUUUCUGGCAGCCACCCUCCCUCACACU